GCGGAGCAGUGGCAGUUCAAUGGCGGCCGCGUCGGCGCAUUAAGACUCUGUGUAAUUUGAAUUCUCCGUCUGCUACGGCGGAGCAGCUCCGCCAACAGCUUGAUACUCUUCACAAGGAGGCGGACAGCACAAGGAUCAAAGACACAGAAGAAUAUGCUUAAUGAAUCUGUUUGUAUUGCCAGCCAGUAACGCAAGGUUGAGACUCAUCCGGUUAUCUGAAGCAAUUGAGAAGCUUAGACGGCAAGCAGCAGUUAAUGUUCAGACUGGAAAGGAAAAUGAAGCAAGGGAGUUGCUGUUCCAAAAGAAGAAAGUCAUGCAAGCAAUGGAGAAGUUGAAGACUCGUAUUGAAUUGUUUGAUCAGUUUUCUGUGAAACUGAAUGAGGCAAUCUCCAUGAAGGAAAGUCUACUUAUUGGGAAUAUGAGCCUGGACCUUGAGGUUAGUGAGGCAGAAGCCCCUAGUCCCGUUCGAAUUGUAUCACCAACAGAGGAAAAUAUUAUAGAUGAUAACCUGCACUUCGGUCCGGAUAACAUGGAAUUCAGAGGGGAUCAGGAAAUGCAAGUUUCAUCUGAGAGUCAAACAAACAUCCACAAUGAAAAUGACUGUAAUAGCCUCGAAGAUUCUUUCAGUGAAAAAAUGUUAAGUGAUGCUGACGACGCCCAGGACCUGAGGGAAUCCUCAACUUAUGAGGACUUCAUGAUACACUUAGAUCAACAGCUCAACAAGAUCCAAGAAGAGCUUGAAACAUUUUUAAGGGUUUCAAACUUGCUUCUGGAAAGCAAAGAAAGGCCGGAAUAUUCGAAGGUACAACAUGCAACAGAAAUUCUUGAGGGUGUUUAUCAUAUAAGAGAAAGGAUUGCCACUAUCAAGCAAAGAAAAUGAGCUCUAGGCCAAAGUUCCAUUUUUUAUGGAACCAAAUCUUUCAGCAAAUGACAUGAUGAUCAAUAGUAUAGAGUUGGAAUGUGAACAUUUGAGCUAUGAUAUAUUGAUCAUUGAAGUGUGCCAGGUGACAUCUUGCACCAUGAGAUAAGUUAUGUUGAUUUGUGAUCUCCAAUAUUUGAUUUUAUGGUUGUUUUUCCCCAUGUGGUCAAUCCUUCAAAGUCAUAUUUUACUUUCCAAUGUGUCAAGGAUGUUGUAGCAUUUAUUUAAUUUUGAAUAACUUUAAUUUCAAUAUCUAAUAUAUAUUGACCACGUAAUGUAGAUUUUGCUAUUGGUACUUUUUUUACUUGGGGAGGGAGAGCGGUGGGCUUCGAAGCCCAAAUCUUGCUGCAUACAAAUUGAAGUCCUUACUGCUUGGAUAUCUCCUUGGAGACAUUGCUAUUUAUUAGAAUUUUACUAUUUUAUAAAUUUAGUUGUUUAUUUCAAAAUGAUAUACUCCCUCCCCAAGAAUAAAGAGACUAUGAAGGUGGGACGGAGGGAGUAUUUUUUUUUAUGACAAGGGAAACACAUUGAGAUCUUUGGCCACAAGAAUAAGUACUCUACCACUACACCAUUUCCAAGGAGACAA